AAGGAAGGAAGAGUUUCUUCAGCUUUUCGGCAGAAACAGUGGUUGUUGUCUCUUUUGUUAUUGCUGCUGUUAUUUCCGUUUGUGUGGCUGCCCAUGUCACGCAAGUAAUUCUGGGCAACUCACAACAGGAGAAGAAUGAAAGAAAACGGCAUACCAGCCUUUCUCCUUAAGAAAGCUUCAAAAACCUUUAUUUCAUUCUGAGGCGAAACGGAUGAAACCGAGCCAUAUGUGACAUCCGAUCCGUCACCAGGCAGUUUAGAAUAGAGUGGAGCGGAGCGGAGCGGAACGGAACGGAACGGAACGGAACAGAACAGAACAGAACAGAACAGAACAGAACAGAAUAACAGAGUUGGAAGAGACCUUGGAGAUGUAAUGGAAAUUGUGAAUUGAGCUUGUGAAAGGAAUGUAAGCGUGGUAACCAUCUAUGACCGGAACGAGAUUUUUGCUCUUGAAAGUUAUGUUUUUAUGUUUAAAUUUGAAAAAAUAAAUAAAAAAUAUUUACAA